UGCAAGUUUCCAUAUUUGCUGAUAGAGGUA
rnacentral:piRNA from 1 species